rnacentral:lncRNA from 1 species
CCUCUCUGGAGCUGGCUCAUUCCUCUUCUCUAGUUGCACAUUAAGUUUCUCCAGCAUGAAGGCUGAGCUUGGCCAGUUCAGAACUACUCUAGCUGCAAGAGGAGGCUUCUGAGGAAGAUUGAGGAAAGAACAAGCUGUGAACCGCCCGUGUGUGUACUCGAGGCUACUCCAGUUCCGGUUUCCAGCCCCUGUGAAGAGGAAGCAGAUCUGGAUGGAGAAGUCUCAGCUCCUUCUCCAGCACCAUGUCUGCCUGCAUGGCACCGUGCUCCCUGCCAUGAUGGACUCAACCUCCAAAACUAAGACAGUCCCCUUCUGCUGCCUGUGGAUCGAGAUGUGGAACUCUCAGUUCUUCCACCACCAUGCCUGCCUGCACGCUGCCAUGCUGUCUGCCAUGAUGAUAAGGGACCGAACCUCUGAAACUGUAAGCCAG